rnacentral:lncRNA from 1 species
CAUGUGAUUUGUCCUUGCUGAUGAAGCAGUAACAUAUACAGCAUUGCUCUAGUGUCUGCAUUCUGUGGAACGGAGGGCUUUUGAGCCUCACAAGACUUUGAGAUUUUAUGGAUAUGAAACCUGCUAUCAUUUAGCAUCCUGCCUCUGGGAAUAGACAUGGAUUCUCACUAUGACACCCAGGCUGGAGUGCAGUGGCACAAUCAUAGCUGACUACAGCCUCGAA